rnacentral:misc_RNA from 1 species
AACGCACAUUGCGCCUCUCUCUGGGAGGCAUGCCUGUCUGAGCGUCAUUUAAUCGAUAAUCGAAGGGUUGUAUUGGGCUCUGCAUUCAUGCGUUGCCUUGAAGACAUGGUCUCAUUGUGGAGGAGUUCCUUUUGGGCUGGCCACGAGGAGACACUGGUUCAAUUUGGCCUCAGAUCAGGUAGGAAGACCGCCUGAACUUAA